UCACGAGGCGUUAAACGUCGGCGAAAAUCGCCAGCGAAAUUCGUCCCGGUGUGAACGGGCCUUUAGACUCAUUUUCAGAAGCUGAAAGCUGGAUUCUUGGUUUUCUAACCACAGUUCUUGGUUAACCAAAUCUCUGCAGGCAUCAUUAACCAGUGUUGCCAGAAGCUAUCCCUAAAAACUGUGUCACUCAGCCAAUAUGUACUUUUUGUACAUUUUCCAUGUAUGAAAUUUCUGUCUUUCGUGAUACAUGCGUGAUAGACAUAGUUCAUGCCUGUUUCUUGCAUUCGUCAUCCGACGAUGUGGGCAGAUGUCCGUCGAGGGUUUCGGCCGAUGGGUCUUUACGUAAAUUUGGUUUUGAACUCUUCAAAGAUUUUGGUCGAUUAAGAAUUAAGCAGUUUACGCUUAUUUUACAUAGUACAUUCCAAAUUAUUAUGUAAAUCUUACACAAUUGUGUGUGGGGUUUUCUUUGGAAAAUUUAUGGCUUUCCAGGACCAUCCCACGUAUGUCUAAUGGACAUUUCACACACGUACCACUGAUGUAUAACUUUUAUAUCAUUCAUUCUACGCACAUAUCAUGUUAAAAUGACGUAAUUGGCGCACAAAUUUCUGCCAGAUUUGGCUUUAUGUUGAUUAGGUGUUCUUUGCGUAGUUUAUUCGUACUUAUUCGUUUUAACAUCGUCUGGCCUCAUAGAAACGUCUGUGAAAAUUUAACUUUUCUCACUUUUUCCAAGUAUGUUCCUGUGUGACCAAUUUCCAUCCAUGUAUGUGUAAAAUGUACGUAGUGGCUGUGUGACACGGGGUUUAGAAGUGUGUGGUAGAGAUUUAGUUUGGAUAUGAACACAGAUAAAUAUAUAUUAGAUCCUACAGUCUUACUAUGUUUUACAGCAAACCCGACCAUGGCUGUAUUUUGGCUCAGGACUUUUUGCAGCCCUUCCCCUGGGGCCCUACGCCACCAAGGUUUGAACAUGGAGCACCGUCCCGCCGUUUUGUCCAGGGCACCCUGAUAUCAGGCUCUGCUCACAUUAGACAUGCAAAUGCAGCCAUUGUAACAGAACAAAGUGAAUCCUCACCUCAUUCAUUAACUCCAUCAGAGCAAAGAGGAGAAAAUCGGUCCUCAAAUGAGCGCCAGCCCUGUUCGCCUUUGAGAAAUAAUUAGAGGUUGUUUGCGGAGAUCCCAGCCUCCAGGAGAAGUGGCCGCCGCCUGUGCGGCAUCCAAUUGAUGUUUGCUUUACAGCCCCUCUGCAUCACGCAGACCCUCAAUAAACUGCUUCGCCCUGUUUGUGAGUGUGAUGCAGCCCAAUGCGGCCCUCAAUUAGCUCUAAAUGACACAGCAAAUUGCAAAAUUGGGGUGGAGAGAGGGAUGGAUAAUUUGCUCUGAAACAGACUCAAAGCAAUUCAUUAGGAGGGUCCGCUUGUGUCCUCCAGCAGAAGAUUUUCACUAGGAGUUCAGACGCUGUCGUUGUUCACCUUGUUGUGGGGCGCUCUCAUCUGUCGGCUUCACGUUCUCUAUGUCGCCACUGGAGCAGCUGAUGUUAAAGACAGGAAAGACGCAAGGCCGGCUCCGAGCACGGCCGACAGGGAGUCAGCAUCCGGUUUGGGUCGCUGUUCCUCGUGGCGGGGGACUGCCUGCACUGGCCUGGGCCCGCUCCGCUUCUCAACUCUGACCAGGAUUUAUUUUAUGCUAUAGAACGUGUGCUACACAAAUAGAUGUAGCAGGAGAUCCUCAGAGCCUUGAUAAGCAGGUGGAAAUGUACCCACAUUACUUUAAAUCUGCUGGUUUUAUUUAGUAUUUGUAAAUGCUUGAGUGUUGCAAUAACACCAUAAGUCUGUACUUUUACUGAUAUUUCUGCAUAAAAGUUGUGUGAAGAUUUACUGUGGGAGGUUUUGAGCUUUUUAAAAAUGAUUAAAAUGUUUUACAUUAAAACUCAACCACAACAAAGAUUGAGUACAAAUGAAGAUGCUCCACUUCACACACUUUGGACUCUUAUAAACUUUAUUUUUGACUUGAUAAAUAAAAUGAGUCCAGUUGUUGUUUUUAUGUUAUUUUGCAAAGUGGUGCUUUUUGAACUCUUUAGAUAACUGCAUUUUUAGCCAGGACAUCAGAAAAUGCCUGUUUAGAUGAUAGAAGCUUCGCCUGGUGUCUGAACUAAUUAUUGCAUCAACGAGAAUCUCAGAGUGGAGUCAAAACAAACUGAUAUCGCUAAAACAAAUGUUAUUGUGACUUAGUGAACCUUAACCAUGUUAUUAACACACACAAAAACAGACUGAUCCCACUAAAGUAGACGUUACUGUGACCAUGCUAACUCCCAACCUUGUAAGUAAACCGCAACAACCACAACACAUUAGCCAUGCUAGUGUACUCACAAUUAUACCCAACUUUGUUAGGAACUCGUAAAAAAAAACCCCUGACAUUUUGGCAGACCGGCGUGUUCUAAGAAUUGGAUCCAAAUGUAAGGCGCUCUGUCUUUUUUUAAAUGUUCUUUUAGGUGCUCCUUAUAGUGCAGAAAAUGCAGUAAGUGUUACGGAUUGAGUUCUUUGCUUUUGGUUUUAGUUCUAUUUUAGUUCUGUUUCCUGUUUUAUUUUGUAAGGCUUCCUGUUGUUGUAUCAUGGUUUCAAGUUUUACUUUUGGUCCCCAUCUGUCCUGAUUGUUUCCACCUGUGUCUCGUCUGUUCUGUGUCUAUUUCAGUCCUGUCUUUCCCUUCCUCGUGUGCUGGUCCAUAGCUUGCUAUUUCCCCAUUCAAGUGGUUUCAGGUUUCUCUAGCCUGCUCAGCAGUGGAUUUUAGUUUGAGUGAUUCUAGUUUUGGUUUAUUAAAGACUCUGUCUCACCUGGAACCUCCUGCCUCCUCCUCUCUGCAUUUGGGUACUCCCUCAACCCCCCCACCAUGGCACAGCAGCAGUAGAGAUGAAUCCGAUCCGGCUCCAUCCAAAAUGCCUGAGGGUCUACGGCGGGAUCUCACCUGCUGGUGGCGCCACAGAAACACUUCAGCUGAGCAGCCGGGAUCCUGCUGACGAGAUCCCUGGGGUAGCCAUGGCGACACAUCCUCCAUCACUGGACCAGAGGGGUCAUGCUUUUUUAAUGAGAGCUGGACUACAAUCUGACACACAGGAAUCAGGUGUGUUGAUGAACUCUAACCACGUCAUCCACAGAUCCAAAGAGGGAGGGGUGAUAUGUAAAGGCUCUUUGUCUGGGGGUGCAAACGAGGUGCACCUAUCCAUUAUCAAUCCAUCCAUUCAUCAUAUAUCCAUCCAUCCACACAAGAUAAUAAUUUGUUGCAACAAAGUAGGUAAAACAGGAAAAGAAAAUACAAAUGUGUGGCGAUAAAAUAGUUCAAAACUUCACCAUCCAUCCAUCCAUCAUUUAUCCUCCGAGACGGAGGGUCAGGGAUGGCCAGUUUAGUUUA